GGCGGUAUGCCCGAGUGGCUUAGGGAGCGGAUUGCAAACCCGCGCACAUCGGUUCGAUUCCGAUUAUCGCCU
rnacentral:tRNA from 1 species